rnacentral:rRNA from 1 species
CAAGUCGAACGGUGAUGAGGAGCUUGCUCUUUUGAUCAGUGGCGAACGGGUGAGUAACACGUGAGCAAUCUGCCCUUGACUCUGGGAUAAGCGUUGGAAACGACGUCUAAUACCGGAUACGACCUUGGAAGGCAUCUUCUGGGGUGGAAAGAAUUUUGGUCAAGGAUGAGCUCGCGGCCUAUCAGCUAGUUGGUGAGGUAAUGGCUCACCAAGGCGACGACGGGUAGCCGGCCUGAGAGGGUGACCGGCCACACUGGGACUGAGACACGGCCCAGACUCCUACGGGAGGCAGCAGUGGGGAAUAUUGCACAAUGGGCGAAAGCCUGAUGCAGCAACGCCGCGUGAGGGACGACGGCCUUCGGGUUGUAAACCUCUUUUAGUAGGGAAGAAGCGUUAAAGUGACGGUACCUGCAAAAAAAGCACCGGCUAACUACGUGCCAGCAGCCGCGGUAAUACGUAGGGUGCAAGCGUUGUCCGGAAUUAUUGGGCGUAAAGAGCUCGUAGGCGGUUUGUCGCGUCUGCUGUGAAAACCCGAGGCUCAACCUCGGGCCUGCAGUGGGUACGGGCAGACUAGAGUGCGGUAGGGGAGAUUGGAAUUCCUGGUGUAGCGGUGGAAUGCGCAGAUAUCAGGAGGAACACCAAUGGCGAAGGCAGAUCUCUGGGCCGUAACUGACGCUGAGGAGCGAAAGCAUGGGGAGCGAACAGGAUU